rnacentral:ncRNA from 1 species
CGGCAAAUUCAGUGAAAGCUGAAGACGCAAAACUAAAGGGCCUAAGUCAAUAAUGAUAUGGCAGCCAGUUACCGA